rnacentral:rRNA from 1 species
AUUGAACGCUGGCGGCAGGCUUAACACAUGCAAGUCGAACGAGUGGCACACGUGUGAGUCAUGCUUGUGAACCUAGCUUAUGGAGGGGGAUAACUUCGGGAACCUGUAGCUAAUACCGCGUACCAUAGGAUGAACCGAAGUGGGAUUAGGUAGUUGGUGAGGUAAAGGCUCACCAAGCCGACGAUCUCUCGCUGGUCUGAGAGGAUGACCAGCCACACUGGGACUGAGACACGGCCCAGACUCCUACGGGAGGCAGCAGUGGGGAAUAUUGCGCAAUGGGGGAAACCUGACGCAGCAAUGCCGCGUGAAUGAAGAAGGCCUUCGGGUUGUAAAGUUCUUUCGGUAGCGAGGCGGUAACUAACGAAGAAGCACCGGCUAACUCCGUGCCAGCAGCCGCGGUAAUAC